UACGGAGGGAGCUAGCGUUGUUCGGAAUUACUGGGCGUAAAGCGUACGUAGGCGGUUAUUCAAGUCAGAGGUGAAAGCCCGGGGCUCAACCCCGGAACGGCCUUUGAAACUGGAUAGCUAGAGUCUUGGAGAGGUUAGUGGAAUUCCGAGUGUAGAGGUGAAAUUCGUAGAUAUUCGGAAGAACACCAGUGGCGAAGGCGACUAACUGGACAAGUACUGACGCUGAGGUACGAAAGCGUGGGGAGCAAACAGG
rnacentral:rRNA from 1 species